UCCCCACUUAACAGCUGGUUCAUUUGCC
rnacentral:piRNA from 1 species